GACGAACCGAGCGAACGUUGUUCGGAAUCACUGGGCUUAAAGGGCGCGUAGGCGGGCUGCCAAGUUUGGGGUGAAAUCCUCCGGCUCAACCGGAGCAGUGCCUCGAAUACUGGCGGUCUCGAGGGAGGUAGGGGCGUGCGGAACUGUGGGUGGAGCGGUGAAAUGCGUUGAUAUCCACAGGAACUCCGGUGGCGAAGGCGGCACGCUGGACCUUUUCUGACGCUGAGGCGCGAAAGCCAGGGGAGCAAACGGG
rnacentral:rRNA from 1 species